AUUUUUUUAAGAAAUAAUUUAAAAUAAAUCCUGCUCAAUGUUAACUUAUAAAUAGCUGCAAAAUUUUUGUACUAAGGUAGCAUAAUCAUUAGUUCUUUAAUUAAGAAAUAGAAUGAAAGGAUAAACGAAAUAUAAAUUUUAUCUAAAAUUUAAAUAAAUUUAAAUUAAAAGUUAAAAUUCUUUUUUACAUAAGAAAGACAAUAAGACCCUAAUAAACUUAUAUAUUUAGCUGGGGCGGCUAAUAAAAACUACCUUAAACUUAUUAUAUAAAUAACUAAUAUAAAAUUAAUUUAUAGUUACUAUAGGGAUAACAGCGCAAUUUUAAUUUUAAGUUCUUAUUUAAAUUAAAUUUUACGACCUCGAUGUUGAAUUAAUUUUACUUAUUAAAGCAAUAUUUAAUAAAGAUAGUCUGU
rnacentral:rRNA from 1 species